AUUUAUUACCAAUAGAUGAUAGGGUAAAUUAAAGCUGAAAGAGGCAGAUAUUGUCCUUAUGGCAGUUUUUGUGCCUUCAAACUUCAAACUAAGCAUAAAGUGUUUCCUAAUGGGUUUUGAGUGUUUUCGACGACUACAACUAUGCCAAUAGCAACAAGGAGAACAUCCGAUGGGCGAGGGGAGGGAAAAGGACGCGGAGUGGAAGCAGGAUCAACACUGCAUUGCAUGGCAUGCAUUUUUUGCUAGCUGCUUUCCAAAAGUUGGUCAUUAGCGUUGUUUUCCAGCACUGUUGUUGCUGCUGUUGCUGCGGGGCAGAAAGCGGAAAACUCCCUGAGGUCAAGGAUAAGCGCUGAGCUAGCUUUUGUUGCCAGAAGUUGUUGCAUAUUUUCGAAUAUUUAUCGAAAAGUGAUUUUCCUUUUCCCCAAGAGAAUAAUGAAGGAAGUCUAUGGCAUGUUCCUGGACGUAAUAUUUCCAGAGUUGAAUAAAAUCUAAUUAGCAAGCAGUUUGUA